rnacentral:rRNA from 1 species
UCGGCAACGGAUAUCUCGGCUCUCGCAUCGAUGAAGAACGUAGCGAAAUGCGAUAUUUGGUGUGAAUUGCAAUCCCGUGAACCAUC